AUAUAUAACUGAUUCACUUUGCUAUAAACCCACAGCUAAUACAACAUUGUAAAUCAACUAUACCCCAAUAAAAGAUGAACAAAAAUGUUUAGUUGUCUGUUCAUUGCAAUAUUUGACUAUGGUUAUAUAAGAAACGUCCUUGUUAGAAAAUAACACGGAGCUAUUAAGACAUAAAAGGACGCUGUAUUGCCAACUUAACGCUCAAUCUUCCAGAAAGAAAGAUAAUAGGCUCCCAGAUACACAGAAGAAAUGAUAAAGCAAGGAGGCCAAAUGGAAACCAUUGGAUCAUUUGGGUAAAACGUGUGUAUUUACCUCUGGGAGGUCCUCGGACUACUCUUGCAACUUCUCUUGAAGUUUGGAAUCAUAGUUAAAAAAGCAGAACUGUCUCCACUUCUCUGCCUUGGAGACAUUUACAUAUGUAGAGUUCAGUGCAUAUUCUGAGGUAAGCAGAUCCUAAAACGGUUCCGAAUGCACGCAGCCUCCUGAUAUGCAAGCCCUGGUGUGAUGGCCUCCCGGUUGUGUGUGGGCUGAAGCUAGUGACUUGUUUCGGAAGAGGAGAAUCCUGCAAAGGGGUGGUCAUCACUGCUGAAGUUCAGCUCUCAAGGACUGUGACCUCCAUCUUGCUGGCACCUCUCUGGCUCGGCUCCCAUGCUCACUUGAAGGAAAGCCGCCCACCAUGUUUUAAGUUGCCUUAUGGAGAGGCCCACCUGGCCAGAACCUAACAGUGGUCCCCCGCCAACAGCCACAGAGGGUCUGAGGCCCUCCGUGCAACAGCAGACAGGGAAGUAAAUCCUGCCAACAAGCCCAGGCAUGAACUUGGAAGCUGACCCUCCCUCGGUCAAGCCUUGAGAUAACUGCAGCCCCCGCCAACAUCUUGACAGCAGCCUUUAGAGAGGCCCAGAGCCAGAGGACCAACCCGGGGUAAGCUGCACCAGGAAUCCUAACCCACAGAAGCUGUACGAUAAUAAAUGUUUGUUGCUUAAUACACUCUGUUUUGAGGAAAUUUACUAUGCAGAAAUAAAUAAUAGCAUUUGCCAAUUUUCUUUUAAUUUUUUUUUCUUUUCUUGUGGGAGAGGAGUUGACACUGUCAUGGAGAGCUUUCCAUGUCAUUAUAUAAAAUACUGUGUUAUUAUUUUUAACAGCCAGUGUUGUUAAGUAUUGUCCAGAUUUUUCAUUGGGAUGAAGUAAGUACCUGGCGGGGAUGGGAGGGGGUGAUAACUGGAGUUAAAAUCUAGCUCAUGCUCCAUUCACCAAACUAUGUUUCCUGGCAUUUGGCUUUGUUUACCCAGAGGAGAGGGUAUCUUUUUCUAAUUUACAAAAAGGUGCCCUCUGGGCUAGUGGCACCCUGCUAACAACUGCAUAGUAUUCCAUAGUAUGGAUAUAGUAUAAUUCCCUAAACUGUCUCAUCUUGCUGGCCAUUUAGACUGCUUCCUGUGUUAUUGCAAUAACAAUAAUAAUAUAAUAAACGGCAGUGAACAUCCUUGUCUAUAGAGCUUUGUAUUCCCGUACAAAUAUUUCUGUAGAAAAAUAUUCCAAAAUGGGGUUACUGGACCAUAGGUUGUGUCCAUCAUUAAUUUUGAUAGAUCCUGAUAAAUUAACCUUACUAAAGGUUUUCACCUGUUUAUUCUCUUAACCGGUAUAAAGAAGUGGCUUAGUUCCUUAUCCUCUCCACAACACUAGAUGAGAUCAAUCUUUUAAAUGUUUGCCAAUCUGAUAAGUGAAAAAUUUUAUCUCAGUUUUAUAGAUCAUUUGUAGAAAACCAAAUAUUUCCACUUUCUGUUCUCUUGAGUCAGGACAAUUUCCUAGUAAUACUGAGUCAACCUUUUCCUGCAAAUAUGCAGGCAAUGUUGAAAAAAAAUCUCUCAGAGACCUGAGAAUCAGACCUUACCCAGCCAAUGUCUGUUCACUCCAUCCUAUCUCUUGUGUGAAAUGUGAGUAAAAGAGAGAAGUACAAUGGGAAGGGAGGGUAGUGGAGGGUACAAUCCCAGCAAAGGUCUUUCAGACUUGGACUUUCUAAUCACGUUGCAGGAAAACUUGUAUUGACGCUUCACCAGAUAUGCUUAUUUAGCUACCACUAACCCCUAAGAUCACUUUCAUUCAACUAUUUUGAUGCGGGUUAUGUGAGCAGAACCAAAUGUCCGUGAGACUCCCAGGUUCGGAGCCACACAGUAAGACUUGCUCGUCUACUAGGCGCAUGUGUUAGUCCAAGCCCUCUGGGAAACAGAUACCAAAACAGGAUUACAUGUUGAAGGAUUUUAUUAGGGGAAAGCUCUGUUGUGGAAAAUGGUGAGGGAGAGCUGGAAGAGCUGCGAGACAGUGAUGCAAACCUGACCCCAAGGGAAGAAGAGGAGGAAGAUAGGGUGGGCAGAAGCAUCCUAGACUAUGAUGCAGUCUAAGGAAGGUUCAGCAAGACCUCGGGAAAUCCUUCUCCAUCAGAGGAGUCUGGUGUCCCCUAGGGUGCAAUGUGCCUGGGUAUCCCUGUUGCACCCAGUCGCUGGCUGGGAGAAGCUCACCCUGGAGUAGCCCCAGUGUGAAUGGGGCUGUUGAUUUCGGAGGCCUUGGUCAAUUGCACUCUCUAGAAAUGGAGCCUCCUAGACUCCUUGUCAAGGCCACCACCACACAUUCUCAAUGAGCUAAUCUGCCGACAGAGCCUCCGCAGAAAUACGCAGAUAGGACAUGGAGAAGGAAUUUGUGCUUCGUGUUCAGUUUCUCCCUUCCACAAAUUCUAUGGAACUGCUUGCCUUACUUGCAAAUGAACAAUAGCAUUUCUGUCUGGUUAACGGUGGCAUAGAUUCCCUGUCCCACAGGUGAAGACUCGUAAAACAGAGAAGUAGCUGGAAUUCUGUGUGCAAGAAACAACGAAAGGAACAGGAAUUGAGGAAUGUAAAAGAGCAAAAAGAAGGAAGAAGAGGGGAAGUCAGAGAAACCAAGAAAUCCCCAGAGGCAGGUGGCCUGAGAAAUUCUCAGCAAAAGGCUGAAGGACACUGAAGAGUAAGAAGGUCCAGCCAUCAGAAUAUUGAUCAUUUACGCAAAGCACCAGCGGCAGAUAUACAACUUGCCAAUUUAUUUAUUUAUUUUUAACUAGGUUCAUAAGUGUUAGAUUUCUGGGGGGAGAUGGGGUUAAACACUAGUUCCUUUCUAGAAUAUACAUCUUAGAUACUAGGUUUGAGUUCUCCUUGUCUCAUCUCCAGGGGGACAUUUUAUUAUGUUGAACUCUAAGGAACAAUCCAAAUUUUUCAAUUAAAUUCAAAUUUCUCUUUAUCAAAUAUUUUUUUGGAAUAUUUAUAAGCCAGAACUUGGAAAUGUCUUGUGCUGUGCAAAUAUUGUUAGACUUGUUCAAUCUGUGUAUAUGUCUGGACUGGUCAAAUCUUAUCUUUCAGAUUGUAAAGUCUUUAGGAGUAUCUUUUUGAUUUAGUUUUGUUUGUUUGUUGGCCACAACCACAGCAUGCAGAAGUUCCUUGGCCAGGGAUGGAACCCUUGCCACAGCAGUGACAAAGUCAGAUCCUUAACCCACUGAGCCACCAGGGAACUCCUAGGAGUAUCUUAUAAAUAUUUCUGUAGUCCCUGCAUUUAUCACAACAGGAUUAUUUGCUUAUGAUCAUGAUGUUUGAAUUCUAGAGUCUGUGAACAAAAGCAAAUAUUUUUUACACAGGUUAAUACAAAUCCAGUAAGCUCCCCCUUAUCUAUUUCCUCUGUCGUAUCUUUGGGACAUUUGAUACUGUUGAUCAAUCACUUACUGAAUGACACUUCUUCCUGGGCUCCCAUUAUAUUAACUUCUGGGCUCUUCUCCUAGCUCCCUGCUUGCUCUUUCUCCCUAACCAUCAGCUCUUUCUCUUUCUAUCACCUCUUAAUUUUGAAUAUCACACGUCAAUUUUCCUGAGGCUUUCCAUUUUGUGGCUUCCCAUUAUCCCCUCUAACUUAAUGUUCCUAUUUUCAAUCCCAAAUCUUACUUAGCUUUGAUCCUAUAGUUCCAGGGUCCUCCAGGAUGUCUCCUCUAAAAUGUCCUGCCAUUGUUGCUAAUUCAGUUUGGUCCAAAGCCUUCUCUUGCUAUUGCUUAUCAAUGGCACUGCCGUUGUCUUUCACAUCUGCAAAGGAAGCUUUGAUGAUAGCUGUGAAUUAUUCUUGUUUCUCUACUCACAUCUGACUGCUUUACCAAACUGUAUUUCUCUUUUCUUUGUGAAACAAUAUUUCAGCUACCUGUCUAAUCCCAAACCCUCAGCUAAAGGAGGAUUUGUGGUUCUUGUAAGCUUGCCUCAAAUCCCUUUUCUCCAUCUAAGAGAAAUCUCAGGGUCUCUCUCUCUCAAUGUUUCCAGAGUCUUUACUUAGUAAGAUCUUAGCUAGUCAUUCUGGCUCCUAUUUGCUGCUUCUGGUGGAUUUUCAAUCUCCCUCACAGCUCACCUUUGAGGCGGAUCACACUGGGUAUCCCAGAUGGACCCAAAAAUAGGCUGAGACCGCUUUGCUUAAUUUUACCCCAAACACCUCUCAUCCAACAAAGCCCAUUGAACCAACCGAACUGAAGAUUUCAUGAGUAAUAGCAAGGGGCCCAUGCGAUUGCCCUCAGAGCAGACAACAAAACUAAAUAUUCCACUUCUCUGUGUUUAAGAGCUAUGUAUCCAUUCAGGUCACCCGGGAACAUUCCCUAACCAUUCCUUCUACGGGGGCUGCGGCGUCCAUCACCUUCUGAGUUCUAGCGCCUUUUUCUCAAGUGGCUCACCCUCAACCCCCAAAGUUCCUUGUCACUUCCACAGGUAAAGUAGAUCAAGUGGGACCAACCGUCGAAGAUGCUCAAGACAGUUCAGUUUUCACUUUGUCUUAUAGUAUCGAGAGCUUCUAACCAGUAGGUUUCACAUCUGAGUAGUUUUUAUAAUCCCUGUGAAAUCUGACCUGUUGCCUGUCACAUAGCAGGCUCUUGAUAAAUGGCUCAUACAUUUAACUGGGGCUGGGUUAAUUCUCUUUGGAAACUGGGAAUUGUUUUUUCACUCUGCUGUUUACUCUUCAAUGACAAUGACUAUACUCCGAAAAGUCAUUCCAACUGGAAAGGUUAAAACAUAUAUAAUAAACUCUAUGAUACCAAAUAACCUGUUGGAUUGGUUUUUCAUCUUGAAAUUACCAAUUCCUUGGAACUCCUUAGUAGAAAGGUUGGAUGAGUUACUGCAGGAAAUAUUCAUUAGGGACCAUCUGUAUGUAAAGGCCUAGGUUAGGAGCUUCGUAGGCUCCAAACCUAACUCACACGUGGUCCUAACUCAGGAUACUGUGAUCUGUAGAGGUGACCAGGAUAUGAAUUCAAAGCUUUAUAAGGCAAGGGUACCGUGUGCAGAGGGUGUUGACUCUCGGGUGAUGCAGGAAAAUUGUGACUCAAACCCACAGGUGUCACAGCUCGGGCUAACCAUCCCCUCCACUCCCUGACGUUGCCACGUUGUCAUCAGAGCUUAUAGCUAGGCUUAUAGUAACUCCAUUUGGCUUUAUUUUUACCCUUUAUCUUGAAAAGCUUGCAGGUUUAAAUAUCCUUAUAGAGCAAAGAGAAUCUUGACUUAGAUUUCAUAUUUCCUUGGCUUCCCUGAAAAAAAAAGAUUUUUUUUUUUUUUUUCUGUUGACACAGCUAAUACUAUACUUCUGCCCACUGAGCGGAUCCACAAUGGCUCUGAAAUUUAGUCAGGUGCACCAUAGCCCCAUCCAGGCCACUAGGCUUCCAGUCUCAAUGAAUCAAACCUGACCACCUCUGAGAGAACAUGGACCAUUUGGUUGGACUCCAUUCAAACACUGAAACUGCCUCUGCAGCGCCCCUCCCAAGGGACAGUGCAUCUGUGAUUGGACAUCUCCAGUGAAAAAGACCUCACUGCCUCUUGAGGCUGCCCAUCCUACCAUCACAGUCGCUCUUAGAAUUGUCCUCCCCUUAAUUGUGUGAACGUCUGUCUCCUGGCAUCUUCCUCACUGUUCCUAGCUCUAUCCUAUGGAGUCAUCCAGGAAAAAAAAACUAAUCAUUUUUCCAAUGAUAAGUCUUAUAUGUGACAGUGACUAUAUUGCUCCCCUACUGAGUUUUCUCUUCUCCAGACCGAAACCUCCUGGGCCCUCGACCACACUUCAUCAGACUGGCUUUUGAGGCUUUUUGGGGAUUGUACACCUUUCUACAGAACAUUCUAUACUUUAUUCCUUUUUUAAACUAUAGCAUCUGGAUGACACAUUCAUGCAUGUUUUAAAUGCAGUAGAAUAAGACAAGACAAUCAUCUCCUUGGUUUUAAACAUGAGCUACUAUGAUGCCUAUUAAAAGCACAUUUCUUUUUGGGGUGGGGGGGAGAUGUCACUCGCAAUAUUUCUUUAUGUUGAGCUUUAUGUUCAUUAAAAUCUCUGACUUUUUU
rnacentral:lncRNA from 1 species